AUACGGAGGAUCCGAGCGUUAUCCGGAUUUAUUGGGUUUAAAGGGUGCGCAGGUGGUUUGAUAAGUCAGCGGUGAAAGUUUGCAGCUUAACUGUAAAAAUGCCGUUGAAACUGUCGGACUUGAGUGUAAAUGAGGUAGGCGGAAUGCGUGGUGUAGCGGUGAAAUGCACAGAUAUCACGCAGAACUCCGAUUGCGAAGGCAGCUUACUAAGCUACAACUGACACUGAAGCACGAAAGCGUGGGGAUCAAACAGGAUUAGAUACCCUGGUAGUCCACGCAGUAAACGAUGAUUACUAGUUGUUUGCGAUACACAGUAAGCGGCACAGCGAAAGCGUUAAGUAAUCCACCUGGGGAGUACGCCGGCAACGGUGAAACUCAAAUGAAUUGACGGGG
rnacentral:rRNA from 1 species